CGGCGGACGGGUGAGUAAUGCGUAGGAAUUUACCUCAAAGCGGGGGGAUAGCCCGGAGAAAUCCGGAUUAAUACCGCAUGUGCUCUACGGAGGAAAGCGGGGCCUCUCCUUGAAAGCUCGCACUUUGAGAUAAGCCUACGUCGGAUUAGCUUGUUGGUAGGGUAAAAGCCUACCAAGGCGACGAUCCGUAGCUGGUUUGAGAGGAUGAUCAGCCACACUGUGACUGAGACACGGCCCAG
rnacentral:rRNA from 1 species